UACGUAGGGUGCGAGCGUUAAUCGGAGUUACUGGGCGUAAAGUGUGCGCAGGUGGCCGCGCAAGUCGAGUGUGAAAUCCCCGGGCUUAACUUGGGAAUUGCGCUCGAAACUACGUGGCUCGAGUAUGGCAGAGGAAGGUGGAAUUCCACGUGUAGCGGUGAAAUGCGUAGAGAUGUGGAGGAACACCGAUGGCGAAGGCAGCCUUCUGGGCCAAUACUGACGCUCAUGCACGAAAGCGUGGGGAGCAAACAGG
rnacentral:rRNA from 1 species